GGUGCAUUGUGGAAGUCAAUAAAUAAGUUUUGUUAAAUCUGAGUAAGAAGACCCGUUUGUUUCCUCAAAUUGCUUAUAAUCUAGGUGAGGACACAUCUGAGAGAAUAACUAAUAGUUCAGUGAAGUUAAAAAACAACAACAACAACAAAAAAAAAACCCACAAAACCCUGAGGCUCAGAAGAUAAAUAUUUGCUGAAGAUCACUGUGCUUAUUAGAAGGGUGUUACUGAUUCUUACCUCAGAGAAGAGAAUGUCAUGGAGACAAAAUGACCUGCUUAGAGUUCUGCGCCCCCCAGCAUGGAGAGCAGAGCGCAAAGAUUUCCUCCAGACUCCCACAUUCUCCCUUGGAAUCCAAGAACUUGUCUACUAUCACAACACUUUAGUACCCACUUAGAUGGGGUCUCACUCUGUUGCCCAGGCUGGUCUCAAACUCCUGGCUUCAAGGAAUCCUCCUGCUUCGGCCUCCCAAACUUCUGGGAUUACAGAUAUGAGCCACCAUGGCUGACUGACGGGCACCAAAUUCUAGGAGAGGACUUGAAUAGGCUCCUAAGGAGGCAGCAGAAACCAAGGUAAUCACAAUGGUCAACAGCAGCGAAGGCAGCACUUUCUG
rnacentral:antisense_RNA from 1 species